rnacentral:rRNA from 1 species
AAGGAAUUUUCGGCAAUGGGCGCAAGCCUGACCGAGCAACGCCGCGUGCGGGAUGACGGCCUUCGGGUUGUAAACCGCUUUUGGAGGGGAUGACUUCGACAGUACCCUCCGAAUAAGCCCCGGCUAACUCUGUGCCAGCAGCCGCGGUAAGACAGAGGGGGCCAGCGUUGUCCGGAAUUACUGGGCGUAAAGCGCACGCAGGCGGCUGGGCACGUGCCGUGUGAAAGCGCCAGGCUUAACCUGGCGAG